CAAGAGUAUUUACAGCUGGCCUAUGCCAUCUGAAACGUACCAACCUUGUUACCUACCUCUGUGUCCGCCUCGGGGUGCUUAUAGCCCGACCCCCUGCCGGCAUGAACCAACUCAAAACCCUUUGAUUCCUCCUACUAUAGUCUAGAGCUGUAACAAGCAAAAGAUUAAUAAAUCA
rnacentral:misc_RNA from 1 species